GAAAGUAACGAAAGCGUUCGUGUAAAAAGAUCGAGGUUAGACAACAUGAUUAAAAGAAUACAAUCAAAGCCCGAGAAGAAACCUGUUGAUUUGCGCGGCCCCUUUACGUGUAGUCUGCCUUCGACUUCGUACCCUAGCACGCAAUGCAGACAAAUAUUCUUUAAUUGUUGCGAAUAUUCCUUACAUUAUAGGGAAGAGCAUACCAAGAGGCGGAAAGCGGCGUUGCGGUGCCAAGUUUGCGAGAAACGUUU
rnacentral:misc_RNA from 1 species